UUGGAGGGCAAGUCUGGUGCCAGCAGCCGCGGUAAUUCCAGCUCCAAUAGCGUAUACUAAAGUUGUUGCAGUUAAAAAGCUCGUAGUUGAAUUUCGGGGUUCUACCGUUGGUCGGGCUAUUGUCUGUACUGGCGUGUAGAAUUUCUACCUUCUGGGGAACUAUCAUGUUAUUAAUUUAGCGUGGUAGGAAACCAGGACCUUUACCUUGAAAAAAUUAGAGUGUUCAAAGCAGGCUUAUGUCUGAAUACAUUAGCAUGGAAUAAUAAAAUAGGACGGUGGUCCUGUUUUGUUGGUUUCUGAAUCACCGUAAUGAUUAAUAGGGAUAGUUGGGGGCAUUAGUAUUCAAUUGUCAGAGGUGAAAUUCUUGGAUUUAUUGAAGACUAACUACUGCGAAAGCAUUUGCCAAGGAUGUUUUCAUUAAUCAAGAACGAAAGUUAGGGGAUCGAAGACGAUCAGAUACCGUCGUAGUCUUAACCAUAAACUAUGCCGACUAGGGAUCGGACGAUGUUAACUUUUCUUGACUCGUUCGGCGCCUUACGGGAAA
rnacentral:rRNA from 1 species